rnacentral:tRNA from 2 species
GUCCUGGUCGAUUAGUGGUCAGAUCAUCACGUUGUGGCCGUGAAGACGGGGGCUCGAAUCCCCCCCGGGACA